CCUACUUUGAAAGCAUUCAGUGGAUAUGUUAACACGAUGAGUGAAUAAGAGCUGCUAUAAAAAGGGACUGAUAACACAACAGCAUUGAACAGCACAAAGCGAAACUUCCAAGUGAACAAGGCUACUCGUGUUGAACAGCAAAAUGAAGUUGGUGCUCUUGGGUUUAAGCAUUCUCCUGCUCCUGACAGCUGGCACAUAUGCCUCAUCUCUUAAUGAAGACCGAGAGCUCCGUUACAGGCCUCCCUGGAUUGGCAACCCCCCACCCCAUGGUCUCAUAAAUGAUGACCACAGUAACUUCCUUGGCCAGUCCGCCGGCCAAAGGCAUUCUGCCCGCAGGAGGAUCCAUCCUGACCCUGAGGAUUAGCCACGAGAACCAGUAUACGCCCAGAGCGCCAAAGCGGCAGGAGUGCAUCAAGUCUGAAAUACUCUACCAAAAAAAAUCUGACUACAAAUUCAUGUAAUUUUGUUCGAGCUGACCCCGACCCAUCUAAAAUGAGUCUGCGACCCACUUUUGUGCCCCGAACCACCAGUUGAGAAUCCCUACUUUGCAAAGCAUUGAAAAAAUAAAUGGAAAAAAAACA